rnacentral:rRNA from 1 species
UACGUAGGGGGCUAGCGUUGUCCGGAAUCAUUGGGCGUAAAGAGCGCGUAGGCGGCUAGAUAAGUCCGGUGUGAAAGUCACAGGCUCAACCUGUGAAAUGCCGCUGGAAACUGUCUGGCUAGAGUCCGGAAGGGGCGAGUGGAAUUCCUGGUGUAGCGGUGAAAUGCGCAGAUAUCAGGAGGAACACCAAUGGCGAAGGCAGCUCGCUGGGACGGUACUGACGCUGAGGCGCGAAAGCGUGGGGAGCAAACAGG